rnacentral:lncRNA from 1 species
GCUUGAUGUCUUCAAGCUUUAAGAGCUUAGCCCCAAUAGUGUGGAAGCCUCAAGUGGAAUCACAAAUCACCAAAACACCUUGGAAGACUUUAGAGAAUAUGAUUACUUGGUUCUCUCUAGUGAAAUUGGCUAGCCCUUCUUAGUGUAUCCACACUAGUGCCAAUUUCACCAACCAAGGACAUCUUUAUAUAGUGUGGAGGAUUAGGGUUAAACCCUAAUACCCAUGACCUUUCAUUUCCUAGGAUCCAUGGGUUAACCCCUCCAUGGACUAUCCAUGAAAGCUUAGCCCAACCUAAAUGAACUUGGCCCAUUCCAUAUAUAUAAGAGUCCAUAUUUAAUUAGUUCCUUUUGAUCACUUAAUUAAUUAUAAAUUAAUUCUUGAUCAAUACUAAUUAAAUAAUAUGAUUCCAUAUUAAUAUAUUAGAACUUAUAAUAUAUUAAUAUUAAUCAUAAACAUACUAUUCUCAAAAGAUUAUCCAUAUAAAUUGUGUCGGUGAAGUGCAACCCAAAUGGACCAUGCCGGGUCGGGUCAAGUACAUACCAAAUAUAGUUAUGGACUUAGACAUUAAUCCAACAGUCUCCCACUUGGAUAAGUCUAAAACUAUUAUUGCGUAUGACUUCAAACCUAACUGGCAAUCGUAGCUCUUAAAGCCGCUGUCGAACUCUGAUCUUGUCAACGAACUUGUCCAUUAGAUAAGGGAUCAUAUAUUCCUCCAUUCUAGAUAUCAUAUGGACUGAGACAUGGAUUAUAAUCAUUCUCUCUGUCCAUUUGUUGUUUCCCGAUUUCCGAUUUAUGACGACUGACUAAUUGAACAAAUCAAAUCAGUCCUGGCCCGGCCGAGCACUUCCAUUUGUCAUCAUCAAAUCAUCGAGGGGCCCACAGAUAUCGCUUUUAUCCCGAAGGUAAAAGGAAUGGAUAAACUUCGACUCAUAUGGCUUGUUCUACUACUUGUUGAAUCAUACACAAAGGCACGUUUUAUAGCACCGAGUUACCAAAUGCGUUUUCGUGCAAUCAAUGUACAACCAACUCAUAGUAACAACUCAUAUCUCUAGGUUUGAAGAAUAUAAGAUAUUAUCGUCUCAUGAUCACUCGUGAUAAAAUCCAUGAAGUGAUUCCAAUGAGCGCGGGUUGAAUCCAAUACUCAGAACUUAUGAGCACUCAUGAGUGUUGUAGCCCUUUGUCCAACACCUUAGACCUCUACAAGCCAACCCAUGACAGUCUUAAUUCAUAUCUACUUCCAACAUAUGACCGACUGUGGAUGGUUUGAAUAACUUAGUCAUUCCGGAAGAAUAACCUAGUUUAUUCGGGAAGUCAAAACAUGCAAAGUGAAACACAAUAAUAAUUGAAUCCAAUAUGGUAUCAAAACUUAUGAACAUAAAUAAAACACCUUUUAUUUAUCACCAUAUGAUUACACAUUAUUCAUUGUAUACUGUUUCAGCUAUCAACUUUAUUCUUGAAUUUAAAACAAUAGUUGUCCCAUGCUCCAAGCAUGUACACUAUGUUUUCUUAAACACUAGUCAUGCCACACACCAAGUAUGCAUACUAUGUUUGUCUAUGAUCUUUACUUUGUGAACUAGAUCAAUUGAACAUAACUUCAAUGAUUCUCUUUUCACACUCCCAAAUCCUUACUGCAAAUGCAAGAAUUCCAAAUUCAUGCCAUUUACUGAAAUCUGUUAGAUUCUAAACUUAUAUGCAUUGAUCCUCUUGUAAUGAUUAUGCACAAAGUCAGAAAGACUUGACAACAAUCAUUACAGAGUAUUCCAAAGGAGAUCAGCUCCUUGGAAACAUCCUUCUUGCAUUAAGUUUCCUAAUCUUAAACAGAUUGAAAAUUCUAACUUUGAAACAUUUCCAGAUUCCAUUUUGACUAUCACUUCUGAACAAGAGUUGCCUCCUUACAGAUUAUGUCAAUAUGGUCCUUCCAGAAUUAUCACUAUACUUCCAACUGUCCUUGAGCAACCAAUCUUUGGUAAACCUUAGAUUGUCCUCGACAAUUGUUUAAUCCUUUUAGUCAUAUCCAGUUCUAAACCUUUUCCCUUCUUAAUGCCCCAGGCAUUUGGAAAAUUUUAGAACGGAUGAAUAUAGCACAUGUAAUCGAUCCUAUAUCCGAAGCAUAUGGGACACGAUUCAUGAUGUCUCACAUAAAGACUAAACCAGUCUUUUGCUAUAAUAUUUCCAUUUCAAUUUGCCAAGUUCUCAUAAUUCAGAUUAUGAAAAGGGAUGCCGUAAUCAUAAUCGAAUUUUAGAACGCAAAUAAUGGACCCAUAUACAGAAUUUCCUUAUGUUGAGCCAUUCCAACAUGAAAUUCAUAUAUAUCCUUGACUAAAUGAUUAAAACCUCACGAUCUAAGCUUAUAGAUUUGAGAUGAAGCAUAAUUUCCUCUCCCUUAAUUAUAGCAAAACAACUUUUUCCCAAUUGAAACUUUUGUUUUCUAUAAUUAACAUUGCUAACUUGCAAUACUUAUCAUAAUUAUCAUGCUCCCACUAACAUGAUGAUUAUUAGCAUAACACUUAUGCUCCCACUAGCUUUGACAUGUACUCAGAAAUCAGCUGGACUUCUAGAAAUCAAUACUUCAUUGACUUUCUUACCAAAGUUCAGAUUUCUGAUACUAGAUUGUUUUGAUAAAACUUUAUCAAAAUCAUACACCUUCCCUUAGAUAGCACACUUGUGUAUCUAAACAAUUAUGAAGAGGGAUGCCGUAAUCAUAAUGUUUAGACCUUUUUGCCACUUCUCACAAGUCCAAAUUAGUGUGCCGGUUAACCACACGCGCUCCACUAACGACUUUGAGAAUGCAAAUAUCACAAUUGCUAUCUAGCUAAAAUCUACUUAGUGAAAGUGUUUCCUCACCAUCAUUUUCAUGAAUCGGAGAGAAACCUUAUGACACUUAGAUUUAAUGGUGUAUGUGUUCUUAUCCAUGUGAAUUGUCAAAACCAUAGUCACAAGACAAGGAUAAUGACAAAUCCAAACUCAUAUGGACUGAACUCAAUCUUAAUUUCUUGCCACCUGGCAGCUCAAGGGCCUGCCAUUGCUUCCAAGUUGUUGUGCAACAAAUUGAGAACUCUAAGAACUCAUAUGCAAAGCCAACUUUAACUGGAAUGGGCACAGAUAUGUCAACACGAUAGGUUAUAAACCUCAAGUCGUGUGCUAGUGAAGAACUUCAGGUUUUAUUCUUGAUUAGUUCUUGAGACUUUCAAGACCUUUAAGACUCCCACUGUCCUCUUGACAUAUAAGACUCCCUUGUCAAACAUCCAAGAGAUAGUGCGGAUUCUAAUCAAGAAAAACACUUUACCCAAUUGGCCUAAGUUGGUCUUUGUUUUAUCCAAAACAUCACAACUUACCAAUUUCAAAUGUACAAGAGUAGAAAACUUUUACUCUUACAUUUGACAAGUGUUUUAAACCUUCUUUAAGACAUGUCACUCAAAUGACAAUCUUGGAGUAUGACUCUAAGACUUGUAUUGGAACGAAGUAUGACUCAUCUUCUUGAUUUAACCAUUUCAACAAUUCAAGUUCCUCUUCUUAGUCAUAAGAAUGCACUAAGAUUUCCUUAGAGAACUAAUUUUGAUAUGGUUUCUUAAUCAUUAAGAUGAUCACAAAACUGAUACUAAAGUACUCUCCCAUCUUUUCAGAUUUGAGAAACUUUUAUCCUUCUGCCUUAUUUGAUUCUUCUUAUCGAUCUUUAGUGGUGGACUUAAUCAGUGCACAAGAAUGUGUACUCGAUCCCUAAGUCCUUUACUUGACUCACACAUCCAUGUGAACAAGUAAUUAGUCUUAAUUUUCCAAAACUUGAAAGUUCUCAUUCAUCAUGCUAUACAACUUGCAUGAUUCCAAGUUCCGGUCCAAUUGAAACUUGGGUGAUGAGAAUCUUUCCUUAUUUGGUAAAUUUAGACAUUACCACAAAUGAAAGAAUCAAUUUCAUACUUCCACUCUUGCUACUAAUGGAAUCUUAUAAGCAACAAAAAUUUCCACAGAUGCCAUUGUAAGGAUAUUUUAAAAUAAAUAAAAUCAAAAAUUUCCUUUUAUUUUAAAACUUUGCGGAAAAACUAUCCUUACAAUCCAUAUGAAAACUUGUUGUUAUCUAUUCCUAAGCAAUAUCUCAUAACUCCUAAGAAGUAGCUCAAGAAUCCGAUUUUUCAAACUAUGCGAUAGAAAUCCAUCUAUGCGAUCAGAUUCAGCAUAUUCUUCCUUUAAGUUUCUUCACUUUCCUUUGAUUCUUAAACCAUCACCAUGCGACCCGGUCACAUCAUGUAUCAAGAAUCUCAGAAUAGAAACUUAACAGAGUUAGAUAGUGGAUUUUACCUGAAGUAGAGUCAAACUUAUUGACUUUAACAUCCUUAGGUAAAUUUGGCAGCUUCGCAACCAAUGCCCUUUCUUUGGCAAUACAAACAUAUGGACCCUUUGAUAAUGGUACACAGGACUAUCACAGACUUAGCUUUUCUCUUUACCAUUUGGUCAACCGAGUUGACUAUAGCCGAUCCCUUUCCAUUGGGAAGAGAAUGCUUUACUGGAUAUCCAAUGUCAUCAUUGUCAAUGUCCAUAAAGUUUUAGGAAGUUGAUCUUAACAAAUAGAUAAGAUCAUUAAGGGUCUUGUCAUAGUCUUUUUCAUAGGUGUUCCAAAAGAACUCACUAUGUGACUUAGAAAGUAGUUGAACCACCAACUUUCUCAAGACUUUGACACCCAACUCUCCCGGCUUGUCAAUAUGUGACUACAUCUCCAAGAUGUGACCACACCUAGACCUUGCCUUGCCAAAAGGGCCUGAGUGACCUUAAACUUUUCAAGAACUUGUGGGUUAGGGAGAAUAAUUUGAAGAGGUGAAGAAGUAUGAUAUCCAUGGGACAUCAUCUUCAUUAGGAAACCUUGUUUCAAGAGAUUUGGGAAGAUCAUAGGUGUCUAAACCAGACAUCUUUUGGGAGAUAUUCAAGAUAGUUGAUUUAAAGUCCUUAAUAUGACACCCAAUAUGAAAUAUUAAGGCUAGGACCCAACAAACUAUUUUAUAACUUAGAAGAGGUAUGCCGUAAUCCAAGCUAUAAAAUAUUUGAAGGUAGGUGAAUGACGAUUCACCAAUUUCCACCAAGAUAAACGAAAUGUAUUAUUAGGUUUUAAUUGGUUUUGAAACUCCUAGAUCUUUGAGAUUCAUUGAACUUUUCAAAGGCAUGUUUCAAUCUCGAGUGUGCCCUUCAGGUUUUGUGACUGGGAUGCCGAGGAUCACAAAACAAGGUGUGAAGUAACCAUGCAAAUCACUUGGUACCCUUAAUAAAUUACCCCUCAAUCGAUGUGCCGGUUAACCACACACGCUCCAUCGAUACUAUGAUAAAUAUUAAGUCACCCUUUACCUACCUUGUUAAGUCCAAGUUAGUGUGCCGGUUAACCACACACGCUCCACUAACGACUUAGACAAAGUGUAAAGUGUAAUUUCAUGGAUUAGCACCUUAUUCACAUUUUUCCUAAGUAACUAAGAUUGGGUAUUAUUAAGAGUUUAGUUACUUAGUAUUAUCAUUAAUACUUUUAAUGAAGGGAGAAUUCUAGUCCUGUCAAACCCGUUCGGCUAACGACCCUCCACCAGUCAAGCAAGCGGUGGGUGAGAGUGGACACCCAUUAAGUUGCCAUUUUAUAGGCAACAACCUUAUACCCACCUUAUAGACCGGCUUCGUGAAUGAGGCGUACUAGCGGUAAGACUGACUUUACUCUUAUACAUAUAUAUAUUAUUAACUUAUAAUAUUAUAAAGUAUAAGGGUUGAAUUUUAACUUUUAAAAUUCUAAGGGCUAACUUGGAAUUAAAGUAUUCAUAAGUGAAAACUUUACAAAUUCCAAAACUUGAGGGCAAGUUUUGAAACUAUUCAAAACUAAUUAAUUCCAUAACUUAUGUGUUUAAAGUAGUUUUAAUCCAAAAACUCUUCAAGUUCCAUAACUUGAGGACAAGUUAUGGAAGACUUUAAACUAAUAAAAGAAUUAACUUUUCUUUAUUUUAUAACUUAUGGAAUUAAUUAAGGUUACACUUUUUUUUUUUUUAUUUUAUUUUAUUAAAUGAAGAGACUCUUGGUCCUCCAUAACUUGAGGACAAGUUAUGGAGUCAUAAAACCAUUUAAUUAGAACUAGACUCUUCAUUUUUGUAACCUUUGCCAAUUUUUAUGAGUUUUAUGAUUCUUAAAUGUGACUUUUCAUAUAACUUGAGGACAAGUUACAAAAACACAUUUUAGAAUCAAUUCUUAGAUUAAUUUGGAUUAAAACCAACUAUCACAUAAUUUUAUUCAUUAAUCUAAAUUCACUCAUAAAACAAGGUAACACAAAAAACUUUUGGUGAUCCAUAACUUAUUCUUAAGUUAUGGAAUCCUUUAAAACAUUAACACCAAAUUUUGUAACUCCAAAAAAACUUUGAAUCAAUUUUUUUUUUAAAACCUUUUCAUAUCCAUAACUUAUGGAGGUUUCAAAAAAUAAAACUCUUUAGAUCAAACUUUUAAAACUAAUAAAAUAAUCAUAUUAUUUUAUCUUUUAUUAAAUUUGACCUAAUUCAACUCAUAAAGCAAAUUAUUCAAAUUUUACAAAUAAUUAGUUUUUCACAAGAACAAGUAAUUAUCUUAAAAUUUGACAAACUUCAUGUUUUUUUUUUUUUUUUUUUUCAACUUUGAAAAUAAAAUAUUUGCAUCAAUAUAACAGAAAACAACCCGUGGCUCUGAUACCACUGUUGGGUUUUGAGCAUUCUAACACUUCCUAAGUGUACAUGCAACCCUAAAUACCUUGGAUCUAUGUUUUCUCUAUUAUACAUGCAAAUAAGAACUUCCAAGGUAUUAUCCUAAUCUAGCAUACAAAACCUUGUCUAUAGCAAGAUAGAAUACAUACCUCUUUAGUGUAGCUUGAUGUCUUCAAGCUUUAAGAGCUUAGCCCCAAUAGUGUGGAAGCCUCAAGUGGAAUCACAAAUCACCAAAACACCUUGGAAGACUUUAGAGAAUAUGAUUACUUGGUUCUCUCUAGUGAAAUUGGCUAGCCCUUCUUUAGUGUAUCCACACUAGUGCCAAUUUCACCAACCAAAGACAUCUUUAUAUAGUAUGGAGGAUUAGGGUUAAACCCUAAUACCCAUGACCUUUCAUUUCCUAGGAUCCAUGGGUUAAACACUCCAUGGACUAUCCAUGAAAGCUUAGCCCAACCUAAAUGAACUUGGCCCAUUCCAUAUAUAUAAGAGUCCAUAUUUAAUUAGUUCCUUUUGAUCACUUAAUUAAUUAUAAAUUAAUUCUUGAUCAAUACUAAUUAAAUAAUAUGAUUCCAUAUUAAUAUAUUAGAACUUAUAAUAUAUUAAUAUUAAUCAUAAACAUACUAUUCUCAAAAGAUUAUCCAUAUAAAUUGUGUCGGUGAAGUGCAACCCAAAUGGACCAUGCCGGGUCGGGUCAAGUACAUACCAAAUAUAGUUAUGGACUUAGACAUUAAUCCAACAUGAAGGACGAUAUUAGUUUUAGUGAUUAGAUAGAUGUUUGAAAACUUUUAAUAGAUAAAUUUAAUUGACAUUUGAUGAGUAAGUAAUGAAGAUUUAUUUAUGAGUAAUGUUUACUAUCGUGUGUCAAUUUUUACUAUUGUUUUACUUUUGCAUGUUUUACUUCCUGAAUAAUUGGAUUGUUCAAAUUAUCCACAGUCAACAAACUUUGGAAGUAUGUAAUGAGGUAAGACUGCAUGAAUUGGCUUGUAGAUUUUCUAAGUUCUUAGACAUAGCAAAUGUUUGCUACAACGUUCAUGAGUACUCCUGAAAUAGGAUUUG